rnacentral:misc_RNA from 1 species
UCUCCGUUGGUGAACCAGCGGAGGGAUCAUUACAGAGAUUUCUAAACUCCCAAACCCAUGUGAACUUACCAUUGUUGCCUCGGCGGAGCCUACCCUGUAGCUACCAUAUAAGGUGGUUACCCUGUAGCGCCCCGCCGGUGGAUUUUCAAACUCUUGUUAUUUAUAGUAAUCUGAGAGUCUUAUUUUAAAUAAGUCAAAACUUUCAACAACGGAUCUCUUGGUGCUGGCAUCGAUAAAGAACGCAGC